rnacentral:rRNA from 1 species
AGCGAACGCUGGCGGCAGGCUUAACACAUGCAAGUCGAACGCCCGGGCAACCGGGAGUGGCAGACGGGUGAGUAACGCGUGGGAACGUACCCUUUGGUUCGGAAUAACUCAGGGAAACUUGAGCUAAUACCGGAUAAGCCCUUUUGGGGAAAGAUUUAUCGCCGAAGGAUCGGCCCGCGUCCGAUUAGCUAGUUGGUGUGGUAACGGCGCACCAAGGCGACGAUCGGUAGCUGGUCUGAGAGGAUGAUCAGCCACACUGGGACUGAGACACGGCCCAGACUCCUACGGGAGGCAGCAGUGGGGAAUAUUGGACAAUGGGGGCAACCCUGAUCCAGCCAUGCCGCGUGAGUGAUGAAGGCCUUAGGGUUGUAAAGCUCUUUCGGCGGGGACGAUAAUGACGGUACCCGCAGAAGAAGCCCCGGCUAACUUCGUGCCAGCCGCCGCGGUAAAAC